rfam:Triticum aestivum genome assembly, contig: Triticum_aestivum_CS42_TGACv1_scaffold_570264_7AS
UUGGUACUCCCUCCAUUCUGAAUUACUUGUCUUAGAUUUGUCUAGAUACGGAGGUAUCUAGCACUAAAAUGAGUCUAGAUACAUCCGUAUCUAGACAAAUCCAAGACAAGUAAUUCAGAACGGAGGGAGUAUAUG